rnacentral:lncRNA from 1 species
UCAGGGUCUCUCCAUGCUGUUUAUGAUGAUCUCAAAUUCAGAAUGCCACAUCAAUAACAGAAGUAUCAGUAAAAAGCUUCAGAAGCAACAUGGCUACUUCUGCGGGUACUGAGAAAUAUGUCUAAUGGUGAGGAACUGUUCAAGACAGAAUAGUUUAAAAGAGGAUGGACAAUUUUAUGGGCCGUAUUGAAGAAGUUUGAGAGGGCAGAGAAACGGAAAUAUUACGUGAGAUUCAUGGCAAGGAAAAUACUUAUGGUCAAGAUUGUUUUUCACCUGAAAAAAGACGGCCACUUAAGAAAACACAAAGUACAGUAAUGGAAGUACUUUAUCACUUAAGAACAUAGAGCAAGGAGAGUUAUCCAUGUUACUUGUGUUGGAUAAUAAGAGAGAUGGUAUCGUUCUCUUUGGCUACUAUAUGGGUUCUUCUUAAUUCCACCCUGUGUCAACAUUUUCUUCCAUGAUUUCAACUACUAAUAGGGGAGAAAAAAAGGAUAGAGGGGAAAGGAAAUUGUUCUCUGAAUAGAUUCAAGGGUCAGAAAGUGUUCAAUAUUACAGGUACUUCCUGCUAAUUGGGUAAAUUGAGUUCCUUGGGGCAAUUUUGAACUUCACUGUCAUGAUACUUAAUGUCUUUAUCUUCUUGUUUCUUCUUUGCUCACUACUACUAACAAACUACAGCCAACAACCAACCAAAACCAAUCAUCCACCCACCCUGCCUCUUGGGACCCUAGCAUUUAUAUACCCUCUCAAACUCCUCUGAAUUCUAAACAUUACACAAUCACAGAAACUAUCAGCAGCCAGACAAAUCACACCUAUGUUAAAGCAUGAAGCAACUGAUAGUAACCUGCUAUGGAUAAUCUGAAGCAUCCCCAUAUCUCAC